rnacentral:ncRNA from 1 species
GAAGCGGAACACCAGUACAGUGGCCCUGACAAGUUCACACGUUCAUCCGUGCCCCAGCAGGAGAAGCCGGUGGGAUUCCGGCACUGACCCGCAACCGUGUACCGGCGCCGCAGCCGCGUCAGCCGGGCAGUCGGAACGCCUGCUGGGACACGAGCGGCUUU